rnacentral:rRNA from 1 species
AUGGGACGGGUCUACUUCGAAACAGACUGUAUGAGUCUUCACCAGGCGCUGUCAAGCACUGCCAUGGACCGGGGUUCGCUUGGUUUUCUCUUCCGCGAGGCAAAAUACCUCAUGCAUUUAGGUUUCUUUGAGUAUAAAACCAUGUACUGCUCUCUGGUCUGUAAUCUCCCAGUGCAUGUGUUGGCUAAGGCUGGGGUGUGUGGAGUUCCUGAUAGCGAGCAAAUCUAG